AGAGUUUGAUCAUGGCUCAGAUUGAACGCUGGCGGAAUGCUUUACACAUGCAAGUCGAACGGUAGAGGGGGCAACCCCUUGAGAGUGGCGAACGGGUGAGUAAUAUAUCGGAACGUGCCCAGUCGUGGGGGAUAACGUAGCGAAAGUUACGCUAAUACCGCAUACGAUCUAAGGAUGAAAGCGGGGGAUCGCAAGACCUCGCGCGAUUGGAGCGGCCGAUAUCAGAUUAGGUAGUUGGUGGGGUAAAGGCUCACCAAGCCAACGAUCUGUAGCUGGUCUGAGAGGACGACCAGCCACACUGGAACUGAGACACGGUCCAGACUCCUACGGGGGGCAGCAGUGGGGAAUUUUGGACAAUGGACGCAAGUCUGAUCCAGCCAUUCCGCGUGCAGGAUGAAGGCCCUCGGGUUGUAAACUGCUUUUGUACGGAACGAAAAGGUUUCCAUUAAUACUGGGGGCUCAUGACGGUACCGUAAGAAUAAGCACCGGCUAACUACGUGCCAGCAGCCGCGGUAAUACGUAGGGUGCAAGCGUUAAUCGGAAUUACUGGGCGUAAAGCGUGCGCAGGCGGUUAUGUAAGACAGAGGUGAAAUCCCCGGGCUCAACCUGGGAACUGCCUUUGUGACUGCAUAGCUAGAGUACGGUAGAGGGGGAUGGAAUUCCGCGUGUAGCAGUGAAAUGCGUAGAUAUGCGGAGGAACACCGAUGGCGAAGGCAAUCCCCUGGACCUGUACUGACGCUCAUGCACGAAAGCGUGGGGAGCAAACAGGAUUAGAUACCCUGGUAGUCCACGCCCUAAACGAUGUCAACUGGUUGUUGGGUCUUCACUGACUCAGUAACGAAGCUAACGCGUGAAGUUGACCGCCUGGGG
rnacentral:rRNA from 1 species